GCAGGAUGGUGUGGCUCACGGUAUCGAAGGCUGCACUCAGGUCGAGGAGGAUGAGGAUGUUGAGGGAACCGGUGUCAGCAGAGGUGAGGAGGCCAUUGAGGACUUUGAUGAGUGCCGUUUCUGUGCUGUGACGUCACUUUAAAAUG